UUGGUAUUGAAACAAUUGGCGGCUUAACAAACUUUGCGAUGGCCGUUUUUCGCUCAAUAAAGUUCGGCAAACACGGUGUUAAAUCAGUGAUUUCGGACAAAUAAUUGUGCAAAAGUGCGAAAAGACUUUGAGUGUUUAAUCAGUGUUGAGGGGAUGCCGUGAUUUUGAGAAUUCGUCGACUGUCGAGUUUGGCUGAUAAGAGGUGAGUGCGAUUGCGAUUUGAGGGUCCGGAUAAUUAUAGAAGACAAUUUUUCGAGUUCAAAAACCGGCACAGUGCGCCAAAAGUUCACCGAAAUAACAAUUACAUCACAGGGAAGGGUCAUUUAUUUUAAUCAAACAACCUACUAAACGAAAGUCAGCUGAUGCCCAGCUUCCGGAGUGUUAGUCAUUAAAAUGAUAUUAAAAAUUU